UUCAUAUCACAGUGAACGCUCCGUGUGCGUACCGUGUCCGUCGAUUUCUAUUACCCACUCGCUGGCUUAUCGAGUACUCGAACACGUACCGACGAAUUAAUAUUUUUAUUAUUAUUAUACCGUUAACAAUAUUUAUUUAUUUUCUUUUAAUUAUCAUCGUUUUAUUUAAUUUUAUUGUUAUUAUUAUUUUGUCCAAUUUACAUAAAUAAUACGUAUACGUUCGCGUACCAGUGUCCAUUGUACAUCGGUUGUUCUACUAUGUAGUGCGCGUUUAUCUAAAUUUUUUUUUUUUUUUUUACUUUUAAUCUCGCUGUGUUGUUAUUGUAUCGGUUGAAUUCGAUAUUAAUAUUUUCGUGUGCACAUCUACAUACGAUACCGCCGCUUCUUGGAUAAACGACGAGACCUUCGAGUCCACAACACACAUAUUACGAAUAAUUUAAUAAUCAAGCGCGAAAAAAUGUACUCCAAAGAAAAGUGGAAAUCGAUUUAUUUGAACGAGCAAUGAAGAACGAACACGACUCUUCACUUAAGUUAUUGAAAGAGUGCGGGUUCAAAACUCUUUCAUAAUAAUCCAGACUUUUCCAAAACCGGUUCCACCUGGUCUAUUUCCACCCUAUUUUGUUGCGGAUGCUGGCCGAACAACGGCUACUUCAAGUUCAGGGAUGCCUUUCAUGGACGAUGUGCUGCUCUGGUGCCCAGAGGCCGAAACUAAAAUUGAUGAUUUUACUGAAUGUCUAGGCAACGAAGUAUCUAAUCUUGGCGAACUUCUUCAAUCUGAAAUAUCCACCGAACUGGGCACCGCAUUGGAUGGUGGAACUGGUGGUCAUCAUGGCGGUGAACAUUCCGGCGAUGAUGACAUUUUCAAACAGCUCUCUGAUUCAUCGGCGUUACUUGAACAAUUUUUCGAUUUUGUCAAUUGUGACAUAAAGGAAGAAAAUAAUAACAAUGUUGUGUCAACGGGUAACAAAAAUCAUGCAGCUGUUGCUUUACUUCAAGAAUUGCAACGUUCAAAUGCUGGAAAGAAGUUUAAUAUAACUACUGCUAAUCCUUUGCUAGCAGAGAAACUUUUAAAUCCUGUAUCUCAGCUUAAUCCGAGUUUAAACCAGAAUUCAGAUAUGUAUAUAAAUCAAAGCAAAUAUAUCAAGACGGAGCCUUCAAUAAACAAUACAGGUAAUGAAAAGGACGAGAACAUCGACUUCCUGGAUCAUCUCAGAAUCCCUAGCAACGGCGGACCGAACCCUACCACGACCGACCAUCUGCCCCCGAGACAACAGUUGUCGUUCGCCUUACCGCACGGAUUUCAUCAUGCCGGCUCUCUACCACCCAGCCCCGCGGACUCCGGCGUAUCCGACGUGGAUAGUAGUAGCAGCGGACACACGUCCACAGAUACAGAGCUCAGGGCUCGGCUCCAACCGCACCAGUAUCACCACCAAGUGUCUUCUUGCGGUCGUCGUACCAGUCCAGAUCCACCGAACAAUGUACAACAAUGCCACCAGCAACAACAACAGCAGCAACAGCAACAACAGCAACAACAUCAACAUCAACAGCAACAACAACAACAACAACAGGACUUGUUUUCCAGAAUUUACGGUGUGAACGCGCCAACAUCGGGAGCGUACCAUCCUGGUCCUGCGCCGUCAUCGCCCAAGCACCCACUCUUCAUGCGAAAUAACCAUCCUUACGGCGGUGUUGCCGGUUACCCCUCGCCCGUCGGCUACGGCUCGACAGUCAGUCCCACUUCCAACGGCCACUUCGCCAUGCCCCCGUGCCCACCCGCGGCCGCCCUCCCCGGCACCGGAACCGUGGUCGGUCGCGGCUCCGUCAUCCAAGCGGCCGCGCCCAAUUGUUAUCAGCCCAACGGCGGCGCCGCAGCGGCAGCCAACCUCAACGACCUGUACUACAUGGACUUCGGCGCCCCCGCCGGAGCCGCGGCCGCGGCCAUGUACCACCAAAAGGUGGUUAACAAGAACAAGAAGCCCAAGAAGUACGGCAACGUGGGCAGACCGGCCACUGUUGGUUCCCCGGGAGCUGUGCAACAGUCAACAUGCCCGGCCACGGGGCCCAAGAGGAAGAGUCGAGAAGGUUCCACGACUUACCUGUGGGAGUUCUUGCUGAAACUGUUGCAGAACUCCGACUAUUGCCCGAGGUUCAUCAAGUGGUUGAACCGCGAAAAAGGUGUUUUCAAACUGGUCGACUCCAAAGCGGUGUCGAAGCUGUGGGGCGAACAUAAAAACAAGCCCGACAUGAACUACGAGACGAUGGGACGUGCUCUCAGAUAUUAUUAUCAGAGAGGAAUCCUGGCAAAAGUGGACGGCCAGAGGCUGGUGUACCAAUUCGUCGACGUUCCUAAGGACAUUAUCGAGAUCGAUUGUUCCGGUGCAUGAGAAGAAAAAUGACGAUAAUAUAACAUACGUUUUAAUAACAAUAUUGUCAUCGUCGUUAAUUUAUAUACUCGUACAUAGAUAUAUGGCGUACGCACAUAAAUGUAUAAAAAUAUGUAUAAGAUAUGUUGUAUGUGUGUGUGUUUGUGUGUGUCUAUGUGUAUUAUUGUGCACAAUUCGAAUUUAAAAUUGAUUGCCGUGUAAAUAUCGCGAAAAACUUGUGUUUCUUUUUUUUUCUACUUUUUUUUUUUUAUUAUUAUUAUUAUAAUUAUUUCGUAAACGUGUGCUGCUGCUGCUGCUGCUGAUGCUGAUACUACCAUGAUAUAAAUUAAGUACUGCCUGCUGCUGCUACAACCGUUGUCGUUCGUGCGUGUGUAUGUGUGUAAAGACUGACAAUAAUUAACCGAGAAGAUAUUAUAUAUUUAAUAACACGAAAAGUAAAAUCGAAGGAAAUAAAUUCGAUUCAGUACGAAAC
rnacentral:misc_RNA from 1 species